AGACGGUAGGGUAUUGGCCUACCGUGGCUAUGACGGGUAACGGGGAAUUAGGGUUCGAUUCCGGAGAGGGAGCCUGAGAAACGGCUACCACAUCUAAGGAAGGCAGCAGGCGCGCAAAUUACCCAAUCCUAAUACAGGGAGGUAGUGACAAGAAAUAACAAUACAGGACCUUACGGUUUUGUAAUUGGAAUGAGUUAAGUAUAAACCCCUUAACAAGUAUCAAUUGGAGGGCAAGUCUGGUGCCAGCAGCCGCGGUAAUUCCAGCUCCAAUAGCGUAUAUUAAAGUUGUUGCAGUUAAAAAGCUCGUAGUUAAUUUUCUGUUAAUUUUUAUAUACAAUACUACGGUAUUUAUAUAAUAUUAACAUAAUUCAUAUUACUUUUUAGUAUAUGAAACUUUACUUUGAGAAAAUUAGAGUGCUUAAAGCAGGCUAUUGCCUUGAAUACUCCAGCAUGGAAUAAUAUUAAGGAUUUUUAUUCUUCUUAUUGGUUCUAGAAUAAAAAUAAUGAUUAAUAGGGACAGUUGGGGGCAUUUGUAUUUAACAGUCAGAGGUGAAAUUCUUAGAUUUGUUAAAGACAAACUACUGCGAAAGCAUUUGCCAAGGAUGUUUUCAUUAAUCAAGAACGAAAGUUAGGGGAUCGAAGACGAUCAGAUACCGUCGUAGUCUUAACCAUAAACUAUGCCAACUAGAGAUUGGAGGU
rnacentral:rRNA from 1 species